rnacentral:tRNA from 1 species
GUACCGGCGUAUCAUCUGAAAAACCCUGACACGGUAGAAGUCGUUGGUUCAAAUCCAAUCGUGCCUACCA